AAUACCGGUUAUGCCCUUAAUUCAUGCCUAUUUUUUUUGCUCAAAAUCCUUAUGAACAGUAAAUUCGCGUUUUUACCCCUUGCCUUUUCUUUUUUGUUUCUGUUUUAUUUUAAUUUUUGGUUUUGUUUUUCCUUUUUUUUACUGCCUUUUACCCUUUAGUCGGUGCCUUUUCUUCUGUAGUCACCUCCUCUCCAUUCAUCUUUCCUCUCUCAUACCUCCAUUUUCUCUCUUCUUUCUACUUUUAACAUUUCUCUGUGCAAAGCUCACAUCUAAAAAAUGGAGCUUACCUCUUUUGCUGCUAGAAUUCUCUAAUGGAAGCGGCUCAUGACCUCGGUUCUUCCGCUGUUGAUGGUAGUUUUCCAGCGAAUUCUUACAUCUUAAAAAUGGAGCUUACCUCUGUUUCUCCCUUCUGGUUUGUUGUCUCGUAGCUCAUUUAUCUCUCAUUUAACAUUAAUUUAUGAAUUUGGUUGAUUAUAGUAGUUUUGAUUGAACAUGAUUUGGAUAUUGUGCGAAAUUUAGGGGUUUUUUUUUUUAUUUUUUUUUUAUGUUUAUGAUUUUGUUGAUUUUUUUUUGGGUUGCAGCAAGAUGACGAGACUUCUUUAAUGGAAGCAAGAGGGUUUUAAUUCUCCUCUCUUUUCUAUGAUUUGUAAUUUUUUAUUUUUUUUGGUAUUUGGUUUUUCCAGUAUUUCAUUUUUGUUUUAUAAAAUAGUUAGGAUUUGGGUGUUUUAUUUUCAGUUUGAUUUAGGAUUUCUAAUGAUUUUUAUAGAUUACCUAAUUGAUUAGUUUAAUUUUGUUUUUAGUUUCUCAAAUUUUAUUAAUUUAGGGGUUCUGAUGAAUUUUUCUUUUGGUUUGUAUCUUAUCAGGAGCAGUUCGGCCUAAUUCAUGUGAUGAAAGUGGGAAUAGGCAUGCGAGCAAAUAGAUGGAGUAUUUGCUGGUGCUUUCUACUUUCCUUUUGAUGCUAUGGAGAGUUUCUUCAUGUGAAACCAAGAAAAGGGGUUGCUUUUGUGAGGACUAAAAUGUGAAAUUAAGUGAUGGGGAACACAAUUGAAAAGACCUUUCGAGCUGGAGUCAUGGGUUUCCAUGCUAUCGUUUUUGGGGUUUCCCUGUCUUUCGACCGGUGACUGAUUACACUUUGUCAUUUUCUUUCUCAUCAAUCCUCUUGCAAUUUCAGCAUAGUAAAUUAAGGGUUCUACAUUGGUGGAUUAUUCAAAAACUUGAUGAGCAGAUUGGUCAGCUUAUAUAGUACAAGCCUCUUUCCGAAGAAAAGGCAAGCUUCAACAAUCUUCAAUGGCGGACGAUGAUUACAAUGACAUGGAUAUGGGACUUUGAAGAUUCUAAAUUGCCAUGGCAUGAGCACGAUAUUGAAUAUUCUAGAACGAGUUCUUCAAGUAGAGAAAUUCUUUAGUAACCUCAUCGAGAAAGAGGUAUGGGAUGGAGCUGAAUGCAAAAAGGUAAGAACUUUGAGUGGUCAUCAAACAAGAGUUGGUGUUUUGGCAUGGAGUUCCCGUAUACUUGCCUCCGAAAGAAGAGACAGGAACAUACUUCAACACGAUCUUCGGGUCUCGAAUGACUAUGUUAGCAAGCUUGUUGGACAUAAAUCUGAGGUGUGUGGGUAAUUGUCACCACCAUUGGUGGUAAAAAUGGACAAGAUAAGCAGGCAAGCUUCAACAAUCUUCAAUGGUGGACGAUGAUUACAAUGGGUAACUUCUCUUAAAUUGGUAUCAAGUUUUUGGAAUUAUGGCUCAAGUAUAAGUCGGUAAUCUGGAUCUUCAAGUCAUUGGACGCAAGCUUGAGUUUAUGGUGUCCUUGACAGUGAGUUACAUGGCUGAACGUAUUGUCGGACAAGGAUACUUUGGGGUUGUGUCUCAGGCAAGGUGCUUGGAAUCGGGUUAAAUUGUGGCUAUAAAGAAAGUCCUUCAGGACGAGAUAUAGCAAGCUGCAAACGAUGUGCCUUUUGGGUCAUCCAAAUGUUACCUCUUUGAAGCAUUGUUUCUUUACCACAACUGGGAAGGUUGAGCUCUAUUUUAAUCUGGUUUAGCAUAGUCACUCUUGAUGAGAGGUUUUCAUCUGAUUUUUGUCGUCCCAGAGGAGAGGAUAUGGGUAUGGGGGCUUGAUGGAAUGGAUUGAAGGAAGUAAGCAAGUGCAUCACGUCAAACAGCUGUAGGUUCGAGUUCAAGGUCCAAGUCAAGGCUUUUCAAUUGCCACCAAUAUCAACCACAGCAGCCGUAACAACCACCAACUCACACCUCCUCCGUCCACCCUUCACGCACAGCCUCAACAACCACCUUUCCCCUGCUCACUCACCCUCACAACAACCACGCACAUCACCAUCAGCCACUCAAUUUCAGCCACCUUUACCACUCUCACAAGCCACCAAAAUCACAACCAAACCAGCACCACCUAUACCCAGCCACACCGCCCUGAACCACCACCAACAACCAGCCACAGCAAACCACCAUCAAUCCGACUCCACCAGCCACCUUACCCUACUCGCACCACCUCCAAUCAGCCACGCAAAACUGCCAGCAAUCACCACCAAAAUCCCCUGCUACCUCACGCAACCUUCACGCAACAACAACCAGCCGUCACCUACCAUCUUCAACCUCCUAAAAACCACUUGCUGCGCCUCCCAUUUCGCCUCCAAUCUCAGCCACCCAAACCACCUGAACCACCAACACCACCGCAACAACCAAUUCCCCUGCUCCCUCACUUCACGCAACAACAACAACCACCCAAAUCACCACCAAACCACUCAUCAAUUAAGCCACGCAACUCACAGCAAUCCAAACUCACAGAGCAACCAAUUUGCGGCCGCGCAUCCCUGUCAGAAAGCGCACAAAUUGGAGUCCAAAAUCAGAGUUGAGGCAGUAGCUUUGCGCGACCUGUGCGCGACUUCUGUGUGGGCGCGCAAAUGUGGGUCAAUCACGAGCUUUUCACGUGAUUUUAAUGAAAAUUGGACGGCCACGAUUCCUUCGAUUAAUCCAAAGGCCGAGAAUUUGGUGAUGCUAGAUGAUGAUAAUGUUGAUGAACGAUGGUGAUGUUGUUUGGAUGAUGGUUGAUGGUGGAGUGAAAGCAGCCAAAUUCAAAAGGGAAGAAGAAGGUGGGAAAGAGAAUUUGGUCUGACGGUUUUGGGUGGAAAUUUUGGGGGUUUAUUUUUCCUUUUCAUUUUAUUUUAUUUUAGUUUAGUUUUUGAAUUUAGUUUUUA